rnacentral:lncRNA from 1 species
UGAGCUGGAUGCGGUGUCCGUUGCAGGACUAGGGCGCCGACAUGAACCUGCACCAGGUGCUGACCGGGGCUGUGAACCCUGGCGACCACUGCUUCUCCGUGGGCAGCAUUGGCGACCAGCGCUUCACGGAGGAAUAAGAACUCCUAAGUGUUGGAUGCAAGAAGUGUAGAUGAGAAGUUAAUGUGAAGAAGAUAUAGAGCCGCAGAAACAAAGAUUGAAGACCAACUUAGACUUUACCAAUUUUAACCAGAGGCUUAUGCAUCUGGAUGUGACAUUGUAAUACUGGGAAGCGAUUUUGAAAGAUUACAGAUAAUCCCAGGAGCUAAACAUGGAAAUAUUCAAGUGGGAUGUGUAGACUGUUCAAUGCAACAAGGCAAGAUUGCAGCGUCUUAUGGAAAUGUUAUCUCCAUUUUUGAACCAGUUAACCUACCAAAACAAAAGAAAAAUUUGGAAUUAUAUAGUCAGUGGCAGAAAAGUGGCCAAUUUUUUCUGGAAUCAAUAGCACACAAUAUAACCUGGGAUCCCACAGG